rnacentral:rRNA from 1 species
AUUGAACGCUGGCGGCAGGCCUAACACAUGCAAGUCGAACGAGUGGCGGACGGGUAAGUAAUGUCUGGGAAACUGCCUGAUGGCGGGGGAUAAAUACUGGAAACGGUAGCUAAUCCCGCAUCCCAUCAGAUGUGCCCAGAUGGGAUUAGCUAGGUGGUUGGGUAACGGCUCCCCAAGGGGACGCUCCCUAGCUGGUCUGAGAGGAUGACCAGCCACACGGGAACUGAGACACGGUCCAGACUCCUCCGGGAGGCAGCAGUGGGGAAUAUUGCACAAUGGGCGCAAGCCUGAUGCAGCCAUGCCGCGUGUAUGAAGAAGGCCUUCGGGUUGUAAAGUACUUUCAGCGGGGAGGCGUUACCCGCAGAAGAAGCACCGGCUAACUCCGUGCCAGCAGCCGCGGUAAUAC